rnacentral:rRNA from 1 species
AUGCUGCCGGAGAAGAUGCAAGCGACGAGGAGCGUUCGGGAUGGGGGUGCCUGCAUGGCGAGGAGCGCUCGGGCUGUGGCUUGCUCGCCGGCAAUGACUGGAGGCGGAAGUCACCGGCGCAGGUUGGACGGCAGCAACUGCAGGGAGCGGGCGGCGGCCAUGGCACUCGGGAAGGCGCGGGGAGGAGAAGGGAGGAGGCUGCUGAGGGUGGCCGGUGCUCGAGGAGCUCCUCUCCUCGGGCGCUCAGCGACAGCGGGGUCUCGCUCCUCUCUCUCCCUCUCUGGGUGA